UUGAACUUGGCAUCUCAGCCUCUCACCACGGGGACCGUGCGGCCGGGGAAAGUGCUGGCUUGCUUCCAGGUUGGGCGAAUACAUUGAGUCAGGGCCCACGGAUACGGGAGGCUGGCCAUACAUCACUUCAUUCGUUGU
rnacentral:lncRNA from 1 species